GUCAAUCAGUCUACGCGUAAAGUCAGCAGGUGUAUAGUAUGAUUACAACUGAACGAAACUUUCAAUUACAUAAAUAAUAAAUUAUACGUGGAUAUUUAAAUACUACAUAUUAUUAACGACAAUAAUUAAGUGAUUAAUUGUUGCAUGCACAUUCACAGACAACUUGGACACAAAUUUUUCGAAUGAAAACAAUAAAAAUAAAAGUGUAAACAAUAACAAUACCUGAAACAUCAAUUAGCAGGAAUAAUGUAUCGACCACAGGUAAAUAAAAAAAUUGCCCUGUUAAUGCACCUCAACAAUUCAGCACGUUGUCUCACACCUGGCACUUUUGUGGCAUUCCCACCUGAUUUAUUUCACCAGCAGUUCACCCCUUCGUACAAUAAAUAUUCUGUCUGCCCAAGAAGAUGAGCAAUGUCAUAGUCAUCAAGUACUCGAGAAAUUGGUGAAGACUGUUGCUUUGAUUUUAAAUCAUAAUAACAAAAUUUAUGUCUUGAGUUGUCAAGUGAAUUAUCAGAUUUAAAUUUGUCAUUUAAAUUACAUCUAGUUGUUUCAAAUUGUCUUUCUAUUGGCAAUUUUUGAGGUAGAUUAUCUUGAGAAUCAAACGAGCCUGAUGAUGAUGGUGGUGAAGAUAACACUGAACUGUAACUUGUUGAAUCUAUAAGCAGAAAAAAAAAUAAUAAAUAAAUAUAGAAACAUAAAUAGUGCUUAAAGAAAUUUAUAAAUUUUAAAGGAAAUAUUUUUACC